GGGGGAGAGACACUGGGGGUGCUGCGACCCAUGGAGAGCCGCAGAAACAGUUUGCCAGGGCUUCCCCAAGGUGCUCGAUUGUUUUGUUCUGUGUGCAGGAUGUUUCUCAUCACACCCCAAAGCUUUUCCAGGAGUCAAACGCAUCGGUUUCCCUCUCUUCCCCCAAGAAAGGGGAAGUUUGUGGCCGGUUGCAUUGAUAGCACCUGGAGUGGUGCUGCCCUGAAACAGGAUGAAAUGGCUGCAUCCUUCCGGGAGGCUGCCUCCGAAAGCAGAAUUGCCCUGUGAGCUGGAGAGGUGCCCCUGCAGUGAGGGCCCGUGCCCAGGGAGGCAUGGGGAGCUGGGGACUUGGCACUUUCCUGCCUAUCAUAGAGGACUGUGAUGUACGAUGGUAAUGAAUGCAUCUUUAUUUAUAGAUAUGAUACUAUGAAAUAGCUUUAUUAUCCCUUGCUAAAAAUGCUUCCUUUUUUGCUUUCUUAGCAGUCAGUGCAAAAAUUCAAGUUAAUAUCAUAAUAUCAUGGUAAAAGCUGCAAGCUCUGAAGUGGUACAGGCUGGCAGGAAGCUCCCAGUGUAUGGUUUGGUGUGAGCAGCACCGAUGUAUUAGGUUUGGCAUAGUAGUACAUGGGUUUUUUUUCUUGUUUUUAGUGGCCAUCUAUGCCAUCUAUGCAUCUAUGCUUAACUUGUUAACAAUUUAUGUUCAUAUGUACGAGGAGGAGGAACAUAAAGAUGAUGUAAGGAUAGACAGGUUUGUAAAACCAGCCAUUUCUUCAAGGGACGGCUGCUGCAGCAAUACCCUGCUUGCACGAUGCCCUAUAUGAGUGUCUGUUUUGAGCGAGUUUUACACGUGACCUGCACCCUGAUCAUGCGUUCUUUUUAGGCUGCACACCCGCCUAUCAGCCUCAUCAGCGUUGAUGCUGUGGACCCACAUCAGUGGUUUCUUGAGCUUUGAGAAAAACCCAGUUCUUGUUCUUAGAUAAAUACAAGAACCCUUCUGUUUCAGAGCAGCGUGCAGCCAUGUGCACACUGUGUGUGCCAGAACAGACCCUUUCAAGAGCUCCAGAAGACUUUUUUAGCCUCUUUCUUUCAUCUGCAAGACCAAAAAGGAAAGAGAGGUUUCUGCAACUGGGAAGCAGGAGAAGAGAGUGGAGUGACAAGACUUCACCUGUACCGUAGCUGAUGGUGGGCUCACAGACCAGAACACACACAGCCUAUUGCACAGAUCGGCUUUCCUGGCAGCCCCGGGCAGCACUUGCAGGGACAGAGGUAUGGGACGCCUAAAAAUAGUUACUGAAAGAGACUAAAAGACAAGGACAGCUGGAAAAAACAU